rnacentral:rRNA from 1 species
CCUACGGGAGGCAGCAGUGGGGAAUCUUGCACAAUGGGCGAAAGCCUGAUGCAGCGACGCCGCGUGGGGGAUGAAGCUUUUCGGAGUGUAAACCCCUUUCGACCCGGACGAAUGCCCCGCAAGGGGACUGACGGUACGGGUAUAAGAAGCCCCGGCUAACUACGUGCCAGCAGCCGCGGUAAGACGUGGGGGGCCAGCGUUGCUCGGAAUUACUGGGUGUAAAGGGUUCGUAGGCGGUGUGGCAAGUCGGGAGUGAAAUCUCUGGGCUUAACCCAGAGACUGCUUCCGAAACUGCUGUGCUUGAGUGUGGGAGAGGCGCGUGGAAUUGCAGGUGUAGCGGUGAAAUGCGUAGAUAUCUGCAGAAACACCCGUGGCGAAAGCGGCGCGCUGGACCACUACUGACGCUGAGGAACGAAAGCUAGGGGAGCAAACAGGAUUAGAUACCCUGGUAGUCCUAGCCCUAAACGAUCAGGACUUGGGGUGCCGCACGUUCGUGCGUCGUCCCGGAGCUAACGCGUUAAGUCCUGCACCUGGGGAGUACGGUCGCAAGACUGAAACUCAAAGGAAUUGACGGGGGCCCGCACAAGCGGUGGAACAUGUGGUUCAAUUCGACGCUACGCGAGGAACCUUACCUGGGCUCGAAGCGCACUUGACUAGCUAUAGAAAUAUGGCCUUCCCGCAAGGGACAAGUGUGGAGGCGCUGCAUGGCUGUCGUCAGCUCGUGCCGUGAGGUGUUGGGUUAAGUCCCGCAACGAGCGCAACCCCUGCACGUAGUUGCCACUCCGCAAGGAGGGAACUCUACGUGGACUGCUCCGGAUAACGGAGAGGAAGGUGGGGAUGACGUCAAGUCCGCAUGGCCUUUAUGUCCAGGGCUACACACGUGUUACAAUGCAGGGCACAAACCGUUGCCAACCCGCGAGGG